rnacentral:rRNA from 1 species
GAUGAACGCUGGCGGCGUGCCUAAUACAUGCAAGUCGAGCGAAUGGAUUAAGAGCUUGCUCUUAUGAAGUUAGCGGCGGACGGGUGAGUAACACGUGGGUAACCUGCCCAUAAGACUGGGAUAACUCCGGGAAACCGGGGCUAAUACCGGAUAACAUUUUGAACCGCAUGGUUCGAAAUUGAAAGGCGGCUUCGGCUGUCACUUAUGGAUGGACCCGCGUCGCAUUAGCUAGUUGGUGAGGUAACGGCUCACCAAGGCAACGAUGCGUAGCCGACAGGAGAGGGUGAUCGGCCACACGGGUACUGGGACACGGCCCAGACUCCUACGGGAGGCAGCAGUAGGGAAUCUUCCGCAAUGGACGAAAGUCUGACGGAGCAACGCCGCGUGAGUGAUGAAGGCUUUCGUGUCGUAAAACUCUGUUGUUAGGGAAGAACAAGUGCUAGUUGAAUAAGCUGGCACCUUGACGGUACCUAACCAGAAAGCCACGGCUAACUACGUGCCAGCCGCCGCAGUAA